AGAGCGUAUGGCGGAUGCCUAGGCACAGAGAGGCGAAGAAGGACGCAGCAAACAGCGAAAUGCGACGGUUAGCAGUAAGCAUGCAACGAUCCGUCGAUGUCCGAAUGGGGGAACCCACCUGGAGUAGAGACCAGGUAUCCUGAAGUGAAUAAAUAGCUUCAGAGAGGCGAGACUCAGGGAACUGAAACAUCUAAGUACCUGAAGGAAGAGAAAAUAAACGAAUGAUUCCCUAAGUAGCGGCGAGCGAAAGGGGAAGAGCCCAAACCGAUCUUAGGAUCGGGGUUGUAGGACUGUCGGCAAAGAGCAAGAAAUCAUUAUAGGCGAACGGAAUGGGAAGUCCGGCGAAACAGGGUGACAGCCCCGUAGCCGAAAUAGUGAAGAAGCACGAGACAGCACCUGAGUACGGCGGGACACGAGGAAUCCUGUCGGAAUCCACCAGGACCAUCUGGUAAGGCUAAAUACUCCUCUGUGACCGAUAGUGAACCAGUACCGUGAGGGAAAGGUGAAAAGAACCCCGGGAGGGGAGUGAAAUAGAACCUGAAACCAUAUGCUUACAAGAAGUUAGAGCCCGUUAAAGGGUGAUAGCGUGCCUUUUGUAGAAUGAACCGGCGAGUUACGAUAUGGAGCGAGGUUAAGCAGGAUAUGCGGAGCCGAAGCGAAAGCGAGUCUUAACAGGGCGAAAGUUGCAUGUCGUAGACCCGAAACCGAGUGAUCUAGCCAUGACCAGGUUGAAGUUGGGGUAAAACCCGAUGGAGGACCGAACCGACCCCCGUUGAAACGUUGGCGGAUGAGUUGUGGCUAGGGGUGAAAUUCCAAUCGAACUCGGAGAUAGCUGGUUCUCCCCGAAAUAGCUUUAGGGCUAGCCUCAAGUAGUAAGUAUAGGCGGUAGAGCACUGAUCGGGCUAGGGGCCAUAAAGGUUACCGAACCCUGUCAAACUCCGAAUGGUUAUACUGUAGAGCUUGGGAGUCAGACUACGAGUGAUAAGAUCCGUGGUCAAAAGGGAAACAGCCCAGACCACCAGCUAAGGUCCCCAAUGUCGUACUAAGUGGAAAAGGAUGUGGGGUCUCUAAAACAACCAGGAUGUUGGCUUAGAAGCAGCCACCAUUUAAAGAGUGCGUAAUAGCUCACUGGUCGAGAGACCCUGCGCCGAAGAUUACCGGGGCUAAAGUACGAAACCGAAGCUGUGGCUACGACAUAUGUCGUGGGGUAGGGGAGCGUUCUGUGAGGGCUGAAGUCGUUCUGUAAGGAACGGUGGACUUCACAGAAGUGAGAAUGUUGGUAUGAGUAGCGAAAAGAAUGGUGAGAAUCCAUUCCACCGAAAGCAUAAGGAUUCCUGGGCAACGAUCGUCGUCCCAGGGUAAGUCGGGACCUAAUCCGAGGCAUGGAGCGUAGGAGAUGGACAACUGGCAGAUAUUCCAGUACCGGUAAUGAUUGUUUGAGCGAUGGAGUGACACAGGAGGGCAGGCAGGCAGGAGAUUGGUUGUUCCUGUACAAGCGUGUAGGAUGGGACGUAGGCAAAUCCGCGUCCUGUGAGUCUGAGGCGUGAUGUGGAGGUUCCGGAAACGGAACUGAAGCUGCUGACCCCACACUGUCGAGAAAAGCUUCUAGUUAGAGAAUUACCGCCCGUACCGUAAACCGACACAGGUAUGCGGGGAGAGAAUCCUAAGGUGCGCGGGAGAACCCUCGUUAAGGAACUCGGCAAAAUGUACCCGUAACUUCGGGAUAAGGGUAGCCGCUGUUGUGAAGUCUGAACAGAUGGAGCAUGAGGCGGUCGCAGAGAAGAGGCCCAAGCGACUGUUUACCACAAACACAGGUGCCUGCUAAAGAGAAAUCUGACGUAUAGGUGCUGACACCUGCCCAGUGCCGGAAGGUUAAGGAAGGAUGUCCGGAGCAAUCCAAAGCAUUCGACCGAAGCCCCGGUGAACGGCGGCCGUAACUAUAACGGUCCUAAGGUAGCGAAAUUCCUUGUCGGGUAAGUUCCGACCCGCACGAAAGGUGUAACGAUUUGGGCACUGUCUCAACGAGGGACCCGGUGAAAUUGAAGUACCUGUGAAGAUGCAGGUUACCCGCGACUGGACAGAAAGACCCCAUGGAGCUUUACUGUAACCUGACAUUGGGUUCUGAUACAUCACGUACAGGAUAGGUGGGAGGCAUGGAAGCGAGGACGCUAGUCUUCGUGGAGCCGCCGUUGGGAUACCACCCUUGAUGUAUCGGAAUUCUAACCGUAGGAGUAACGAAACUCGGGACAGUGUCAGGCGGGCAGUUUGACUGGGGCGGUCGCCUCCCAAAGAGUAACGGAGGCGCCCAAAGGUUCCCUCAGCGCGGCCGGAAAUCGCGCGAAGAGUGUAAAGGCAGAAGGGAGCUUGACUGAGAGCCAAACACGGCGAUCAGGUACGAAAGUAGGGCUUAGUGAUCCGGUGGCAUCCAAGUGGAAGGGCCAUCGCUCAACGGAUAAAAGCUACCCUGGGGAUAACAGGCUAAUCUCUCCCAAGAGUCCAUAUCGACGGGGAGGUUUGGCACCUCGAUGUCGGCUCAUCACAUCCUGGGGCUGAAGUCGGUCCCAAGGGUUGGGCUGUUCGCCCAUUAAAGUGGUACGUGAGCUGGGUUCAGAACGUCGUGAGACAGUUCGGUCCCUAUCCAUCGCGGGCGCAAGAGAUUUGAAGGGGGCUGCUCCUAGUACGAGAGGACCGGAGUGGACGAACCAAUGGUGUACCAAUUAUCUCGCCAGAGGUAUAGUUGGGUAGCUACGUUCGGAAAGGAUAAACGCUGAAAGCAUCUAAGCGUGAAACCAGCCUUAAGAUGAGAUCUCUCAUAGAGUAAUCUAGUAAGACACCUUGG
rnacentral:rRNA from 1 species